rnacentral:misc_RNA from 1 species
GCUGGACCUGCUGGACCCUGACAAAUUAUUACUCGCACUUAAGAACAGGCUGGUGAAUUCUGAGCUUCUGUGUGUCAGUCAAAUGUGCUAUGUGCAGAUUGUUUUGUUGCAGCCAGCCAGUGAUAGGUGUUCUUCUUGCUACCUUUACCAGCUGUAUGUUUCAUAAUCGCCGAAAUGUCGGCGAUUGUUAGCUGUACCUAUUCGGCUCUACGUCUGAUCUCGUGCAGAAACACUAAAGAGCUUGUAAAUUCAGAGACAGAGAUCCCUUUGCACAACUGUUGCAGAAAUUGAAAACACAACAAAGUCUGAGCUUCAUGGCUGUCAUUCAUUUAACAUGGUUUUGUUGCAGCCAGCUGGUGAAAGGUGCGAUCGAGUCAAGUUGAGCUGCAGCUGCUGCAUGCAGUUUAUUAAGCUGGUGUUAUCUGAACUCUGAAGUGUCACUGCAGGAAGACUUCUUGAAUUGUGGUUUUUCAGCCCCUUUCCAAUUGAGAUAUGCUCUGAAAUGGAGUUUGGUGCAGACUUGCAGUUCAACAUAACACUUAAAUGUGUCAUUUGCCUAUGUUGGUGUAUAUGCAGUAAUUGCAGUAUAUGCAGUGUUGAACAGUUGGGUAACAUAGUAAAUGAUGCCUGAUGGCUGCCGGGCUUAUUUUAUCGGCUGUGUUUUGUCGAUAUGUCGUCCCUUGGUACCGGGGUUGAGUUUCAUCGUUUUCUGCCGUUGCAUAGACUUGAUCCUGCCAAGUAUUACUCAGUUCCUAGCUACUACACCGAGGCUCCAACUUAUUACACCACCAAAGCGGCUGAAUACUACACCGAGCCGCCCAAGUACUACACCACCAAGGCUCCAGAGUAUUACACCACAACUUAUGCUUCCCCGAGGCACUACACUGAAGCCCCGAAGUAUUACUCUGCCUCAAGCUACACAACUACAACUGAGGCGGCCAAGUAUUACGCAGCCCCGACUUACUACACAGCGGCUGCUCCUUCGUACUACGUUGAACCGGAAUACUACACCGAGGCACCAGUUUACUACACCACAACCCACGCUACACCUAGCUACUACACCGAGGCCCCUAAGUACUACGCUACCAAGGCACCUGAGUAUUAUACCACUACUUUCGCUGCUCCGACCAGCUACACCGAAGCUCCGAACUAUUACUCUAUCCCGAGUUACUACACCACUAAGGCACCUGAAUAUUACGCCACACCCUACGCUUCUCCAACUUACUACAGCGACGUUUUCUGAUUUUUAUUGUAUCUUUCCUAUUUCACAUGUUGGAAGUGACUAUUGCUCUAGUCGCUCUGUAUUCCGACAUGUUCUGAUGUUGGGACGAACUUCAUUUACAGGGCAAGUUACGAAAGAUACGUAUUGUGGUGUUGACUUAAAAGAAAAAUGAUGUUAACGGCUCUGUUUUUAAUUUUAUUUGGUGUAACAAAGGAGUUGCAGAUAGUGUUUGGUUUCUCAUAGAAGUUUAUUUGAAGGGUCUGGAGUUGAUCAGAGUCAGAAAGUCAUUUGCCUAUAACAUAUGUAAAACUUCAAAGUUGUAAAAAAUAUAUAAAUCGUGAACUAAACAUUUUUUA